AGUGAACGCUGGCGGUAGGCCUAACACAUGCAAGUCGAACGGCAGCACAGUAAGAGCUUGCUCUUACGGGUGGCGAGUGGCGGACGGGUGAGGAAUACAUCGGAAUCUACUUUUUCGUGGGGGAUAACGUAGGGAAACUUACGCUAAUACCGCAUACGACCUACGGGUGAAAGCAGGGGAUCUUCGGACCUUGCGCGAUUGAAUGAGCCGAUGUCGGAUUAGCUAGUUGGCGGGGUAAAGGCCCACCAAGGCGACGAUCCGUAGCUGGUCUGAGAGGAUGAUCAGCCACACUGGAACUGAGACACGGUCAAGACUCCUAAGGGAGGCAGCAGUGGGGAAUAUUGGAAAAUGGGCGCAAGCCUGAUCAAGCCAUACCGCGUGGGUGAAGAAGGCCUUCGGGUUGUAAAGCCCUUUUGUUGGGAAAGAAAAGCAGCAGGUUAAUACCCCGCUGUUCUGACGGUACCUAAAGAAUAAGCACCGGCUAACUUCGUG
rnacentral:rRNA from 1 species